rnacentral:rRNA from 1 species
CGUUAGGGCGCAGCGUUUGUCCGGAAUUAUUGGGCGUAAAGAGCUCGUAGGUGGUCCGCCGCGUCCGCUGUGAAAUUCCAGGGCUUAACCCUGGACUUGCAGUGGAUACGGGCGAACUAGAGGUAGGUAGGGGAGAAUGGAAUUCCCGGUGUAGCGGUGAAAUGCGCAGAUAUCGGGAGGAACACUGGUGGCGAAGGCGGUUCUCUGGGCCUUACCUGACACUGAGGAGCGAAAGCGUGGGGAGCGAACAGGAUUAGAUACCCUGGUAGUCCACGCCGUAAACGUUGGGCGCUAGGUGUGGGGUCCUUCCACGGAUUCCGUGCCGCAGCUAACGCAUUAAGCGCCCCGCCUGGGGAGUACGGCCGCAAGGCUAAAACUCAAAGGAAUUGACGGGGGCCCGCACAAG